rnacentral:precursor_RNA from 11 species
UGGUGCGAUUGCAGCAGAUCUUGGAGACAUUGGUUUAUCUUAUCUGUCGAGGCAAGUUAUUUUACCGGAUAGUGUUUCUUUUCGUGAGCAAUCACCACUAUCCAGCUCUUCUUGUCGACAGGGAGAUAAAUCACUGACAUCCGAUGGUCAUUCAUCGAAGGUGGC